rnacentral:rRNA from 1 species
GAUGGACGCUGGCGGUAUGCUUAACACAUGCAAGUCGAACGGACUCUUCGGAGUUAGUGGCGGACGGGUGAGUAACGCGUGAGAAUCUGGCUUUGGGUUCGGGACAACCACUGGAAACGGUGGCUAAUACCGGAUGUGCCGAGAGGUAAAAGAGAAAUUGCCUGAAGAUGAGCUCGCGUCUGAUUAGCUAGUUGGUGAGGUAAAGGCUCACCAAGGCAGCGAUCAGUAGCUGGUCUGAGAGGAUGACCAGCCACACUGGGACUGGGACACGGCCCAGACUCCUACGGGAGGCAGCAGUGGGGAAUUUUCCGCAAUGGGCGAAAGCCUGACGGAGCAAUACCGCGUGAGGGAAGAAGGCUCUUGGGUUGUAAACCUCUUUUCUUAGGGAAGAACAAAAUGACGGUACCUAAGGAAUCAGCAUCGGCUAACUCCGUG